GGAAGUAAAAGUCGUAACAAGGUUUCCGUAGGUGAACCUGCGGAAGGAUCAUUACAUGGCGGAGGAGGUGGGCACCUGGUAACCCUGGGUGUGUUGCCUUCACGCUUUCUACCCUUGUCUAUAUGCACCUUUUGUCGUUCCCUCGGUGGGUCUUGUACCUGCCGGCGGUACCUCUCAAAACCUCUUGCAGUUAGCAUCUAAUUCUUCUGAUACAAUAACAAAUCGUUACAACUUUCAACAAUGGAUCUCUUGGUUCUGGCAUCGAUGAAGAACGCAGCGAAAUGCGAUAAGUAGUGUGAAUUGCAGAAUUCAGUGAAUCAUCGAAUCUUUGAACGCACAUUGCGCCCCUUGGUAUUCCAUGGGGCAUGCCUGUUCGAGCGUCAUUUACACCCUCAAGCUUUGCUUGGUGUUGGGCGUCUGUCUACGGACUCGCCCCAAAGGUAUUGGCAGCGGUCCUGCCGGGCCUCCUAAUCGCGCAGCACUGUUCGCGCUUCUUGGAGCCUGUGCGGAUUUUGCAUCCAUCAAGCCCACCUUUUUUUUUUAACUUGACCUCGAAUCAGGUAGGGAUACCCGCUGAACUUAAGCAUAUCAAUAAGCGGAGGA
rnacentral:rRNA from 1 species